rnacentral:rRNA from 1 species
UAGGGAAUCUUCGGCAAUGGGGGGAACCCUGACCGAGCAACGCCGCGUGAGUGAAGAAGGUUUUCGGAUCGUAAAGCUCUGUUGUUAAGGAAGAACGAGUGUGAGAAUGGAAAGUUCAUACUGUGACGGUACUUAACCAGAAAGGGACGGCUAACUACGUGCCAGCAGCCGCGGUAAUACGUAGGUCCCGAGCGUUGUCCGGAUUUAUUGGGCGUAAAGCGAGCGCAGGCGGUUAGAUAAGUCUGAAGUUAAAGGCAGUGGCUCAACCAUUGUAGGCUUUGGAAACUGUUUAACUUGAGUGCAGAAGGGGAGGGUGGAAUUCCAUGUGUAGCGGUGAAAUGCGUAGAUAUAUGGAGGAACACCGGUGGCGAAAGCGGAUCUCUGGUCUGUAACUGACGCUGAGGCUCGAAAGCGUGGGGAGCGAACAGG